rnacentral:rRNA from 1 species
GACGAACGCUGGCGGCGUGCUUAACACAUGCAAGUCGAACGGAAAGGCCCUGCUUUUGUGGGGUGCUCGAGUGGCGAACGGGUGAGUAACACGUGAGUAACCUGCCCUUGACUUUGGGAUAACUUCAGGAAACUGGGGCUAAUACCGGAUAGGAGCUCCUGCUGCAUGGUGGGGGUUGGAAAGUUUCGGCGGUUGGGGAUGGACUCGCGGCUUAUCAGCUUGGUGGUGGGGUAGUGGCUUACCAAGGCUUUGACGGGUAGCCGGCCUGAGAGGGUGACCGGACACAUUGGGACUGAGAUACGGCACAGACUCGUACGGGAGGCAGCAGUGGGGAAUAUUGCACAGUGGGCGGAAGCCUGAUGCAGCAACGCCGCGUGCGGGAUGACGGCAUUCGGGUUGUAAACCGCUUUCGCCUGUGACGAGGCGUGAGUGACGGUAAUGGGUAAAGAAGCACCGGCUAACUACGUG